rnacentral:rRNA from 1 species
UUCGGCCACAUUCACGUUGAAACACCGAUUUUCGUACGAUCACCGAAGUUAAGCAACGUCGAGCCUGAUCGGAACCUGGAUGAGUGACCGUUUGGGAAUACCAGGUGCUGUAAG